rnacentral:rRNA from 1 species
GACGAACGCUGGCGGCGUGCUUAACACAUGCAAGUCGAACGAAGAGCGACGGAAGCUUGCUUCUCUCAAUCUUAGUGGCGAACGGGUGAGUAACGCGUAAUCAACCUGCCCUUCAGAGGGGGACAACAGUUGGAAACGACUGCUAAUACCGCAUACGAUCUAAUCUCGGCAUCGAGGAUGGAUGAAAGGUGGCCUCUACAUGUAAGCUAUCACUGAAGGAGGGGAUUGCGUCUGAUUAGCUAGUUGGAGGGGUAACGGCCCACCAAGGCGAUGAUCAGUAGCCGGUCUGAGAGGAUGAACGGCCACAUUGGGACUGAGACACGGCCCAGACUCCUACGGGAGGCAGCAGUGGGGAAUCUUCCGCAAUAGACGAAAGUCUGACGGAGCAACGCCGCGUGAGUGAUGACGGCCUUCGGGUUGUAAAGCUCUGUUAAUCGGGACGAAAGGCCUUCUUGCGAAUAGUGAGAAGGAUUGACGGUACCGGAAUAGAAAGCCACGGCUAACUACGUG